AACGAACGCUGGCGGCAGGCUUAACACAUGCAAGUCGAACGGGCACCUUCGGGUGUCAGUGGCAGACGGGUGAGUAACGCGUGGGAACGUACCCUUCGGUUCGGAAUAACCCAGGGAAACUUGGGCUAACACCGGAUACGUCCGCAAGGAGAAAGAUUUAUCGCCGAAGGAUCGGCCCGCGUCGGAUUAGCUAGUUGGUGGGGUAAUGGCCCACCAAGGCGACGAUCCGUAGCUGGUCUGAGAGGAUGANCAGCCACACUGGGACUGAGACACGGCCCAGACUCCUACGGGAGGCAGCAGUGGGGAAUAUUGGACAAUGGGCGAAAGCCUGAUCCAGCCAUGCCGCGUGAGUGAAGAAGGCCUUAGGGUUGUAAAGCUCUUCCAGCGGGAAGAUAAUGACGGUACCCGCAGAAGAAGUCCCGGCUAACUUCGUGCCAGCAGCCGCCGCGGUAAG
rnacentral:rRNA from 1 species